rnacentral:lncRNA from 1 species
AGAGGGGCUCGCGCCUCCCGCCGGCGGGGCGCCCUCACAGCCCCCGGCCGCCAUUUACAGUGCGGGGUGUGUGGGGGGUGGGUGUUGGGAGGGGAAGCAGCGUUGCCUUGACUCACUGGAUCCUUGCACUUUCCAAAAAAAAAAAGAAAAAAAAAAGGAUUUUGAAAUUCAGACUCUUGGUUCCAUUCCCCAAAAUGUAUUAAAUCUUUCUCUUGAGCCCAGUGGUCCAGAAACAUCAUGUGUCUAUGCACUCCAUUCCUCUUACUCUCACUACCAAAACCAGGAACUUCCGUCAGGAAUCUGCCUGGAAACAGCAAGACCGGGCUUGUUACCAAAUGUGGCAUGGCUUUCAAGACUCACUCUUUUUCCUGUAGCUUCUCAGUGUACAUGGAAGAUUUUGAAGUUGUGGCUGAUAGACCCUCUGCCCAACAGGAUAAGGUAGCAUACGUGAUAACAACAGUAGAUCUUGCACACGUAAAGUCUUUGUACUCCGCCUCUAGGAAUGAAUUGAACCCGUCCGUCUCCAAUUACAGAAUUCAAGUGUCAGAGGUUUGCUGCUAAAGACUUGAUCAGGAUUUCUUUGGAAAACGUGGCAGAAACCUCCAGCAGGUUCCCAAAACUUGAAUGUCUCAGCCGAUUAGGCUGGGAUGAGACUCUCUUGUAGAAGCUGUUCUGCUCUGCGUGUGGGCUCAUUGAAUGGCAUCAGAAACCAGCCUGCUAUGGUUUCCUGUGGGCAUGCAAGUGAUAAAACAAGAACUGUUCUGAUACUGUUAUUUUCAUCCUAAUUUAUGCUCUCCGUACCCUCAACAAUUCCUGAAGUUUUCAUUUUGAGAGAGGAAUCUGUACACAGUGGUGGUCAUUGAUAUAUAGAAAAAAUAAACCUUGUUAACUGAUAUAUUACUACUACUAU